CGGGACUGGGAGCCUCCCAGGUGCUACAUCCGCAUCAUCAGCCUCAGGCCUCCCUUGGGGCCUCUCCCUUCAAACCACAGCAUCCUCAUCCCACCCCACCCCCAGGUAGGAUGCUGGUCGCUCAGCCUGGAGAGACCUUUUUAAUUUGAGGAUAAACAGACUGUCAUCCUGGCUCGGCCCUCUGUGGGCUUGCUGCUCCCCGCCCCCCUCAAUCCGCAGUGCACAGCCGCUCUGUUCUCCUGCCAACUUGGCAGCUCGUUGCUGCUGUUACUAUCAACACCUCUGAGGGAAAAAGGAGAGGAGUCGGUUCUGAUCGCCUAGUGCACUGAGCAACACAUUCAUACCGAGCCUGAGCACUCUGGAAUGUUUCCCGAGCUCCGAAGACUCCGGGUGGGGCAAGAAAGGUGGGAUCUGUGUUGCAGAGAACAGAUGGGCCGGAAAUCAGCCUGAGCUCGGAUCCGAUCAGCCCCAGUAGGAGCAGCGCUUUAGCAGAGAGACUGAAACCAGUCGAGGACACACACAAACCCGCCCCUCCUCCCCACCUCCCACCCCCGCCCCUGCUCCCCACCUCAGGGAGUACUGGGAGGGAAUAAGAAGAGCUGCUGAAGGUUGUGGCUGGAGCCUCAGAGGUACAGGACCGGAAUAUCGGUAAAUGGAUCUUGCUGUUACCUCAUCUCUUGUCACAGUCCAAAUAACAUGGAUGGCUUCAGUUCAAGAGAUGGUAGAUCAGGGUUUUGUGGUGUGGGUAGGAAAAUGCUUUUGGGAUUUUGUUUAGGGAUGUAUGAAGAACUGGGUCUUUUUCUUUCACCAUCCUUGGACUCCAUGUCUCCUUUACCAGUUCAGACCGGGUGCUAGAAUGAGCACACUUUCUUUACCGGUUGAAAGCUUCCAGGGUCAGCCUUUUCCUUUACCCAAACCCACUCAGAGCCACUCAGGCCCAGCCCUCUGACUUCCCCAAGCUGCUAGUUAGUGCCUUUCUCAGCCGUGGGUUAGGACUCCCAGGGAGGAGGGGCUGUUGGGAAGAACAAAGAAUAUCUUCAGAGACAGAAAGCCCACUCUAAAGCAAAGGCCUGCUGAUAACUCCAGUCACUCAGUCACUCCUGACAGGAUCAAGAGGUGUUCAUUGUGCUGCUUUCCCCGGAGGAAUGCCUCUCCAGCCCUCUCCCUGGUAGCUAAGGUAAAGCCUGAACUUCCUGACUUUAGUCUCAGCCACAAGGGCUGGCUUGGGACUAGCUCCUGAAUUCCAUACCAGUGGUCUGCCCAACCCACCCGAAAAUGUGGUCCUGGUUCCUAGUCGGGUGUGUGUGGGGAGGGACGAUCAUCAGCCUGUUCGCUUUUCUAUAACACAGAGAAGUCAGGCACCUCAAUGGGCUGCAGACUACAGAAUGAAGACCUAAAACUGAGGCUUGUAUACAACUGGAAUGUGCCCUCCUUUUCUAUGCUGCUCUCCCUCUACCCUCCCUAGAAGCCCUUUUUCAGAUGUGAAACUGAUACCAAGAUUAUUUCCAGCCCUGGGAAUCUGAACCCUCUCACCUUCCUGGUAAGAACUACCCAGCUACCCAAGAAAACCUUCAGACUAUCUCAGGGCCUGAGAACAGGAAAGAGGACUCAGUCAGCAGGCUGGAAUUGAAAUAAGCCAUGAGAGGCUGUGCCAUUCCGGGCUGCACCUGUGAGCAGCCCCUCCAAUGAAGCCCUGUCAGCGUUUCCAUGACAAACUCAUAUUUCCGGAUGCUUCUCUUCCAGCUUGAAGAGCUUGUCUCUCGGCGAGGCUUGAUACUGAAAGUGCAUUCAGAUUUUCACACCCCCCCCCAAAAAAAGAUUGUACACCCCAUAAAAACUUACAACCUGGGGUUGGGGAUUUAGCUCAGUGGUAGAGUGCUUACCUAGGAAGCGCAAGGCCCUGGGUUCGGUCCCCAGCUCCGAAAAAAAGAACCAAAAAAAAAAAAAAAAAAAAAAAAAAAAAACCCUUACAUCCUCCUUGUAUGUAUUUGCUCUUUAUUUUGAGUUUGAUGGCAUAACCUUUGUUCUGGUGAAAAUAAGCAACACACACAGAGGAAGACUCGAGGAGAACCGCUAACGACUACAUGGGGCCAGCACACAGUGUGUAAGACCUCUCUUUGCAAGAGAUCCUCUGCUUCCAUUUGCUUAUCUCAAAGCCAAAAGUGAUUUCUACUUUUGAGUUUGAAGGACUCCCCAGCUCCAGGUGUCCAUUGGCCUCUAACAGAGGCUGACUCCAGAAGGUCACCAGCUCCCAGCUGGCAAUGGAUGAGUGGAAGGAUUUUGAGGUACCUCGAAGGUCAGUGGAAGGGCAGAAAGGGCCUUUCAGUAGGAGCUUUUCACCGGCUCGACGUUGCUACUCUCCAGUACAUUAGCAUCACAAGAUCGAAACAGAAAACUCGGGUAUAUCCCAAAGUGGGAAGAAAAUGAUGUCAUAAACUGGGAGCGAGAUGUGGGCCGAGCUAUGUGGAGGCCUGAGACGAGAGAUGUGUCGUGGCCGCAAUCGCAAGGAUUAAGAAAGUUGGUCCAGUAUGGCCGUGCACCCCUUCCAUCCCAGCACUUGAAGGGCAGAGGCGGGUGAUUCUUAGUAAGUUCAAGACCAGCCUGGUCUACACAGUGAGCUCCAGGACAGCCAGGGCUAGGUAGAUACCCUGUCUCAGGGGAAAAAAAAAAACACCAAAAAACAAAAAAAACAAGAGAAAGAGACUGAGACUUGCCCUAGAAGACUGCAGAAUUGCUGGGCAGGAGGUAGUCUGACAGAUUGGCAGUGAUAGUUAACCAAAGAGAUGCAGUUCCUCUCCAGGAGACUUCUCCACAGGCUGCCUAGUGUGUCCUUAUGACUGGCUCCUCUGGAGCUUCAGUCCAAGAGGGAGAACUGAGCGGACCAUAUAGAUUCUUCGUUGACCUGCUCAGAACUCGAAAUUCAUUACCUGGCUACACUUUGCAUUUAGGAGCAGGUCACCAAGUCCACUCGACCUCCCAGAGAGUAGACUGUGACUUCUGAAGGGAGGACUGCCCAGGGGAUUGAGUGAGUGAGUGCUCCACCCCAGAUUCGCAUGUCAAAGCCCUAACUCACGCUGUGGCUGCACUUGGAGAGAUGCUUCUAAAGUAGUAAUCAUAUAGGCUCACGUAACCCAGGCUGGCCUCGUCUUGUGUAACUGGGAUGAGGCUGAAGUUCCUGGCCUCUUGGCUUCAGCUUCCUAGUGUGGGUUUUAGAUCUGAGCCCCCUUGACUGGUUUAUGUGCCGUGCUGGUGUUCAAAUCUAGGGCUUCACACAUUCCAGGUAAGCACUCAACCCACUGAGCCACAACUCCAGCCCCUCAACUACUGAUAAAUGGUAAAGACGCAUUCUGAGAAAUGGGUCGGUAGGCAAUUUUAUUUUAUAAACUUAACUUGCGCAAACGAAAGAGGACUGUGACGUCACCUGAUGAUAUAACCUUAGGGGACUUCCACCCUACAUUUGGCCCAUCAUUGAUAGAAAUGUCAUUUAAUCUGCAUGACUAUAAUGAAGGUUGGAUGAGAUACUGAAGGCAAGGCUCUGCUCUGACAGGAGUCAUGUCCUCUGUGUGUGUGCGCGAACACAUAUAUGUGACAUAUGUGUUGUAUGCACACUUGUAUAGGUGGCUCUAUGUACCCCUGUGCACACAUGAGAAAAGUCAGAGGAUGGUUCUGAUGUCUUUCUCUAUUACUCUUUAUCUCUGUGUUCUUGUUUGGCUAGUUGGUUUGAGUCAUUUUAUUUUACUUUAUUUUAUUUUUUGAGAGAAAGAGAGGAUUUCUCACUGAAAUGUCUCCCUUUUGGCUGUUAGCUUAUAGAUCUAGAGCUCUACCUGGACUAUGUUAGGCUUCAAACAGGAACAAAUGGCUGAGGUCCCUAUUUAACGUAUCAAAUAGGACCUGGCCACCAGGCUGUCCCAGCAUCCCUCAGUCCCGACCUGUAACAGGGCCCUCCUAGCUGGUAUACCCCAGCCCCUAACCUCAAUUCUCCAGUUCAGGGGGCUGGGCUGCUCUUCCCUAUAUAAACCAGCCAUUCUGAUUACCCAUUCUUUGUACUUUUGGGCCUCCUGGCUGCUGCAUCUUGGCCCCCUCUCUCCCCUCUGCCUCCCCCCUACCUCUCCUCAAAUGACCUAGCUCAGUCUGGUCAUUGUCCACCUUGGACUCCCUCAGAAGUCCCUGUGCCUACCUAUGCUUUCCUUUUUCUCUGUAAUAAGCCUUCUCUUCCCCCAUACCCAAGAGCAGUAGUCAUGUUUCCCUUCGUUUUCUUUCUUUUAUUCAUUCAUUUGGUGCCGAAACCUGGAAAUGGCAUAAAUGUAAAUUCCUGACCCCAGGAACUCAGCCAUUCUGAACCAAGCAGCGGACCUGACUCUGCUAAGGUGUGCAUGGUUCACUUGUUUCCACUGGCUCCUGCCGCUCACAAAAUUUGAUUCCUAGUCCUAGAGGUUGGCCGGGUGUGGUGAUGCUCGCCUUUAAUCCCAGUAUUCCGGAGGCAGACACAGGUGAAUGUCUGUGAGUUCUAGGCCUAUCUGGUCUACAGAGAGAGUUCCAGAACAGUCAAGAACACAGAACACAGAGAGACCUUAUCUUAAAAGUAAAAAACAAACCAACCAAACUUUUGAGUCCAAUUCUUCAGCUGGUGUCCCCUCUCCCUGCUCUUUCUCCUGCUGCCUCACCUCUCCUUCUUUAGUGGAUAAAUAUCACCCCUAGCUGCCAUUUUUGCCUGCUACAAUUGCGACACAGGUGUGUCAGGAAGCUCCUUUCUCCCUCACUGGGCUCCAGUCACAAGGACCAGGGACACCUCUUUGUAAUUUGAAACAUCUUUCUCCUGGACAAAUUUACUGUUCUACUUGGGGAUGCCCCGACGGAAAUUCUUGCCACCUCUGCACUUGACACUAUCCACUUCAGCUACUCCCAUCUCUUAGCUCUGGCCUGCUACGCCCAUCUGGCUCUCUUUAGCUUUCUCUUGCCUUACAACCUGCCUGCAGUGCCACUAUGCUAUCCCUUGCUCCAGCCUGCAGUGCCACUAUGCUAUCUUUUGCUCCAUGCAGUGCCACUAUGCUAUCCCUUGCUCCAGCCUGCUUGCUUGCAUGCUCUCCACUCCUUUUUGGAGCUUCUAGAACAUACCCUCCCCUGCAUGUGCCAUUCUCUCUCUCUCUCUCUCUCUCUCUCUCUCUCUCCUCUCUCUCUCUCUCUCUCCCUCCCUCCCUCCCUCCCUCCCUCCCUCCACAGGCUCAUAUUAGUGUUACAGCUUGGCCUCAGUACAGAUCAAUGACUAGCACACAACGAUCCCAAAGUCUCUGACACCUCAAGUUCUACAACUUGACAAUCUCAAAAUUCUUUGCUCUCUCUAAUUUCUCCGCUCUGCUCUUAAAAAAAAAAAAUAAUCUCUCAGGACUAUGCUAUAUCUUACAAAUAUUUUGUCUUAAGAUUCGUAAAUUCGGACUGGAGAGAUGGCUCAGUGGUUAAGAGCACUGAUUGCUCUUCCAGAGGUCCCUGAGUUCAAUUCCCAGCAACCACAUGGUGGCUCACAACCAUCUGUAAUGCCCUCGUCUGAUAUGUCUGAAGACAGUAGCUACAGUGUACUCCUAUACAUACAAUAAAUAAAUUUUUUUAAAAAAACUUACAACAAAAGGCUUAUAAUUAAAACCUAAACAUAAGAAUUUUAAUUUGUCGCAACAUCUUAUAUAUGUGAUUUAAUACUAGUGUAGAAUAUACCAUAUAUGUAACAUAGAUUCAACUCUUGUUUAGGAAAAAUUGUAUUUGAAUAGCAACCAUGUAGUUCUCCUCCAUCUUGGUGAUAACCUUUACCAAGAUGUAAGCAACCAAAUGCUGGCAGCCAUUUGUGUCAUGUGACUUCACUGUCUUCAGAUGACCACAUGGUUUAAAACGAUUAUAUAUAAAACUUCUCAGGCCUACUGAGCCCCGCCUUUAUCGUUGAUCAUCUUUUCUAGACUGAGGAAAGAACAGCCCUAAACAGUCUCUAAAAUAUUUUGGAUUGGUAUGGAUUUUUGUCUGAUGACAAAAUUUAAGUUAUAGAGGUUUACUCAGAUUAACAAAAGCUGAUUUAAGAUAUAUGCCUUAACUAUUUAUGCCUUUGCUAGUUGUUCAACACCAGGCUUCUAGAGAAUUUAGAUAAGUCACAACAUACAUUUGAUAAAUAAGGGGUGCUCGCUUCGGCAGCACAUAUGCUAAAACUGGAACGAUAAAUAAGGUAUAUUUGAUAGUAAGGUUAUCAAUCUGUAAGGUCUACUUAGGUCCACAGUGGUAUCUAACUUUUUCAUCUUUGUUCACGGCAUUAAGCUUUAGCUAUUUGGAGAAACCAAGUCAUAUGAAAAAAAUCAUAAUAAUUCUAUUUGGAUGCUGAAGGUGAUCCAAUUAAAUCUUCAACUCCAACUAUUAAGACGCAAACCCAACAGGGAUAAAGCUCUAAAAUCCUAACCUUAUAUAAGCUACCAGCUUAUAAGCUAUUCAUUUAGUAACAAGCUUUAGUUAGCUCCCUGUAAGUAUACUUAAUAAAGAGGCGGCCCUCAAACACUUCAGAGAGCUUCUGAAUAUGGCAUUUAAAAUGCUCACGCUUCUGUGGGGCUGGAGGGAUGGCUCAGUGGCUAAGAGAACUGGCUGCUCUUCCGGAGGACCAGGAUUGAAUUCCAGCACCCACCGUGGUAGCUCAAAACUGUCUGUAGCUCCAAGAUCUGACACCCUCACCUAGAUAUACAUUCAGGAAGGACACCGAUGCACAUAAAAUAAGAAAUAAAUUAUUAAAAUGUUUAAGCUUCUGUGGAGAGCUUUCGGGGCUGCUUCUAGGAAUUUGGCAGGAAUUUGACAUUGGGCUAGGACAAGGAAGUAGGUUCAAGAUGAGUACAGCUGAGGACUGUGUUCUUUGUGUCCUGAUGGGUCUGGUUAAGACUCUGAAUACAGUAAUCACAGGACCUUUGUUUAUGCUUUGUUUGUUCCUUAACUACUCUGUUUAUGCCUUAGGACUGACCAUAUUCUUUGUAUGUAUCUAGAGUGAUAUAAAAGCAGACUGGAAAAAAAUUAAACACGCUUCAGCCUCAGCACUGGGCUGGAGGCAUGUUAUAAUGUUGUCUAAUUGUCUUUUUCUUUUCUCCCUCCUCCCUGGAUACUCUGUUGACUGACUGAGCUGGCUUGGUCAAACUUCCCCUAAUAGACAGAACUGCCUCCUAGCGGGAACCCCAUGGUCUCCAAAGAAGAUAUACGGAUAUACGAGGCACAAGGACUCCACCAGGAUUGUGGUAGUGCUAACCACUGGGAUAAACUGUUCCAUGCCUCAUCUGCUGUCAGUGCUCUUCUCAAACUGUGGGCGUUUUUUUUGGGUUGAUUGCCCUAUUUUGCCUGGUCAAAGUAAGGUCAGUUCUCCCAAGUUCCCCUUUAGGAAAAAAAAAUCUCUCAGAUCUGACAGCCAAAGGCCUAUGCUCCUCUGUAUGACAGCUAAAGAUUUGGCUAUGUGAUGGCCGAAGACUAACCACUGCCCCCAACGAAACUCUGAAGACCACUGGACCCCAAGGUAACCCGUCUCAUGUAAUGGGGAAGUCUCUGUCAUUCCAGGUAUAAUCUCUCCUCAGAUCUCUGAGGAUAUGGACUGACUGUAGCUUUAACAGCAACAAGCAUACCAGCUCCUCCCCCAAGGCUUCAGCUGCCUUCCCAGUUCUCUUCCUAGGUAAAGACCAGGCCUGAGGCCUCACUCACCUAGAGUUUCUGCUGUAGAGAUUCUGGGCCUUGCUACCAGGCUCCAAAAAGAGAUAAACUCACUAAAGAGGUUUCAAAGUAACUUUUUACCAUUCCUUUCUUUUUUUUUUUUUUUUUUUUUUUUUUUUUUGGAGCUGGGGACCGAACCCAGGGCCUUGGGCUUGCUAGGCAAGUGCUCUACCGCUGAGCUAAAUCCCCAACCCCACCAUUCCUUUCUUUAAGGGGACUCUUUGCAAUAACUGCACUCCUGCAGUCACCCCUGGGUCCUCAUGGUAAACAACAGGAUGUAAAAGAAAAAGUGAUUCAAUCUUUAUUAAGACUUCAAAAGUUCAGAGUUUAAACAUUAAUCAGCGGAGUUCUGAUAAGCCAUCAAUCUAGCUCUGCUAAAGUACUUGUUAAUAGUAUCAUAGUCAAAUUUAAAAUGUUAGAUUUUCCUUUGGUCGUUUCCUAAGUACAGACUUAAAAAUGCUUCUCAGUUUGCCAAAGGCAUCUCUGUCCAGUCUAUAUACACAGCACUCUGGAGAGAGUGUUCAUGCUUCUAACCCAAAAUCAUUUUGGCAUUCCCACACUUUUACUUCCAUUCAGAGGCACGAGUCUACUGCUCUUUCCCACAGUGCAGAUUUCAGUACAUAUUACAAAAGUGGUGAUGCUAACAACAUCAGAACUUUUGUCUUUAUAAUCUUAAAAAAAAAAAAAUCUUGUAAGCUGCUGGACCCACCUCUCACAGGUCAAAUGGACCCCAAAUAAGUACUCGUGUCAAACAACAGCCUAAAUUUUAAUGCCCACUGCCUGUUCCUGAGGGUGGGAUCUUUCUCCCUUUUCCUGAUCUUGGAGCUCCCCUCUCCAGCUACCUUUGAGGACCCUGGGCCUCAAAGUUUCAAAUGUGCACCCAGGAUAAACUUUCCCUUCUUCUCCUAGUCUAUCUGUCCCAGUUGAUUCCAGAUCCGACUAGUCCCCAGCUCCGGGUGCUCCCCCACAACCCACAUCCCAAGCAGCUUCAAGGAGGCUAGCCCCAGGUAAUCCAGCCUCACAAACUACUCCACAAGGUCCUGCAGAGCCUGGGCAGCCACUUUUCCCAGUCUCAGCCAGCGCACCAGCUUCUUUAGCACACCCCCACCCCUGACGCCCCGCCCUGACAAUGAUGCUCCAAAGUCAGCAGGAAAUAGUAAGAGAGGAGAUUAUGUAUGUGUCCUCCCAUACCAUUCAUCAAUUAUCAACAAAAAGGCUUAGGUUUUUGUUUGUUUUUUUUUUAAUUAACAAACAAACAAAUAGGUCUCGGGUUGGGGAUUUAGCUCAGUGGUAGAGUGCUUGCCUAGCAAGCUCAAGGCCCUGGGUUCGGUCCCCAGCUCUGAAAAAAAAGAAAAAAAAAAAAAAGAAAGUAAAAAGAAAGUAAAAAAAGAAAUAGGUCUCAAACCUGGGACAAAUGGUGAAGGUGCCUACUAAAGGACCUGGCCUCCAGGUUCUCCCUGCAUCUCUUAGUCACUACCUGUUACAGGGCCCCUGACUAGUAUACCUCACCCGUCUAACCCUGAACUCUCCAGCCCAGGGCUCUGGGCUGUUCCUCCCUAUAAAAUCCACCUGUUUUGGUUACCUGAUUUUUUUUUAUUAAUUAAUUAUUAUUUUUUUUUUUUGUACCUUUGGGCCUCCUGACUGCUACACCUGGUUCCCUUCCCCUCCCUCUCCAUUCGCCUCCUUUCUGCCCCACCUCUCCCCUUCUUCUCUCCCCUCUCUUGUCCUCCCCACAUGACUCAGUUCAGUCUGGUUAUGUACACAGACCCUGGACUCUCCCAGAUGUCCCUGCCUCGGCCCAUACUCUUCCACCUGUCUAUAAUAAACCUUCCCCCACCAUAACUACGAACAGUCACA
ensembl:lncRNA